GUGGGUGUAGCUCAUUGGUAGAGCACAUGCUUAGCAUGCGCUAGGUCCUGGGUUCAUUCCUCAGUACCUCCA
rnacentral:tRNA from 1 species